rnacentral:rRNA from 1 species
CCUACGGGGGGCUGCAGUGGGGAAUAUUGGACAAUGGGGGCAACCCUGAUCCAGCCAUGCCGCGUGUGUGAAGAAGGCCCUCGGGUUGUAAAGCACUUUCAGUGAGGAAGAACGCCUGGUGGUUAAUACCCAUCAGGAAAGACAUCACUCACAGAAGAAGCACCGGCUAACUCCGUGCCAGCAGCCGCGGUAAUACGGAGGGUGCGAGCGUUAAUCGGAAUUACUGGGCGUAAAGCGCGCGUAGGUGGCUUGAUAAGCCGGUUGUGAAAGCCCCGGGCUCAACCUGGGAACGGCAUCCGGAACUGUCAAGCUAGAGUGCAGGAGAGGAAGGUAGAAUUCCCGGUGUAGCGGUGAAAUGCGUAGAGAUCGGGAGGAAUACCAGUGGCGAAGGCGGCCUUAUGGACUGACACUGACACUGAGGUGCGAAAGCGUGGGUAGCAAACAGGAUUAGAUACCCUAGUAGUC